UACGGAAGGCAGCAGUGGGGAAUAUUGCACAAUGGGCGAAAGCCUGAUGCAGCUAUGCCGCGUGUAUGAAGAAGGCCUUAGGGUUGUAAAGUACUUUCAUCGGGGAGGAAAAACAAAACUAAUAAUUUUAUUUCUUGACGUUACCCGAAAAAGAAGCACCGGCUAACUCCGUGCCAGCAGCCGCGGUAAUACGGAGGGUGCUAGCGUUAAUCAGAAUUACUGGGCGUAAAGAGCACGUAGGUGGUUUUUUAAGUCAGAUGUGAAAUCCCUGGGCUUAACCUAGGAACUGCAUUUUGAAACUGAAAUACUAGAGUAUCGUAGAGGGAGGUAGAAUUCUAGGUGUAGCGGUGAAAUGCGUAGAUAUCUGGAGAAAUACCUGUGGCGAAAGCGGCCUCCUAAACGAAUACUGACACUGAGGUGCGAAAGCGUGGGGAGCAAACAGGGAUUAGAUACC
rnacentral:rRNA from 1 species